rnacentral:tRNA from 1 species
GCGGGUGUGGCGGAAUUGGCAGACGCGCUAGACUUAGGAUCUAGUGGGCAACCGUGGGGGUUCAAGUCCCUUCACCCGCACCA